rnacentral:rRNA from 1 species
UACGUAGGGUGCGAGCGUUUGUCCGGAAUUAUUGGGCGUAAAGGGCUCGUAGGCGGUUUGUCGCGUCGGGAGUGAAAUCCACUGGCUUAACUGGUGGCUUGCUUUCGAUACGGGCAGACUGGAGGUAUGCAGGGGAGAACGGAAUUCCUGGUGUAGCGGUGAAAUGCGCAGAUAUCAGGAGGAACACCGGUGGCGAAGGCGGUUCUCUGGGCAUGUCCUGACGCUGAGGAGCGAAAGUGUGGGGAGCAAACAGG